UCUGUGAAAAGUUUAUCGCAAUAAGAAAAAUACAAAGAAAUAUAAAUGUUAUUUAUAUAUCAUAUAUAUUCAAUUCCAUAAGUAUAAACUUUUUUGAGUAAAACUCAUUAGAUUGAGUUUUUUGAAGCCUCUACUAUAUGUAUGAAGUUAAUGUAUUAUUUUUUUUAACAACAAAGAGACAAAUUGAAAUCUAUGAAAAUAUUAUUUUAUGAUAGAAGAUCAAAUCAUUAUUUCACAUGUUUUUUAUGUUAUAUGUUGACGACACAAACACCGUAACAUGCACGUAUUUCGAAUCUGUCGAGAUCGAGAGAUCAUUUGCAAAAUGUUGUUAAAUAAAACUUCGAAUUGCACGUUAACUUCACAUCAAACAAAAUCUCAUUAUUAUUUAUCUAUUUUUUUCAUUAAUUACAGAUAUUUUUAUAAAUAAUUACAGAGCACACAGGGAAGAAACGUACCGGAUAUUUAUCAUGAACUAAAAGAAACAGGAAACUCUGACCCUCUGGCGAAGAUAUUUUCAACAAAAAUUUGAUUUUACCGACCGAACCAAUAUAUUUAAACUAUAGAUGUCGCUAAAGGUUUAUUUCUUGUAAUGGUUCUAAGGAACUAUUUUGCGUAAUUGGCGGAUUAAGAGUGAUGUCUUCUUUCGACUUCUACAAGAUUUCCAGGAUCUACUACGUAAGUCAUCAAUUUCGGUUAUUCCCCGCCAAAAAAAGAUGGCGGCGAUUCUCGCUCGCAUUAAACGUCCGUCCGGUGCAAUAUAAUAUUUCAAGAAGAAAAGCUCACCAAGGAGAAAAUAAAAUCGCGGUAUGCUGCCACCAAAACGUUUGGAUUUAUUUCACGCGACCUCGAAGCAGGAUUGUGUCAGGAGGUGAACCAGAGCGAUGGAUUAUUUAUCGGGACAUCUCUCGUUCCGUUCUUCUCAUUCCAUUCUUCUUCCCCUCAUCCCUAUUUCUCAAAGCUCCGUGCGUCAUCCGGCGUCUCCCCGGGGAUGCAGGAAACAAUGUCAUCUAUCUUCCAGCGUGAUCCACGUCCGGUGCAUCAUGCUGGAAUUACCGGUACUAAUACACACUGUGCUAUCGUAUAGCCAUACAAGGAUCUAAGAUUAACAUUUACAUCUCUGAUAGAGAUCCUACCUAACUAAAUUACAACACGAAGUCGAUCUUCUUUACGCUUCUUUUUGUUUCAUGAUUUUUUAUCGAUCUCGUUUCUCUGAUCUCAUUUCGAUAUUUAUGAAAAUAUUGAUUGAUAAAUGAUAAAAGUGCAAAUAACAAGAUGAAUGAUUUUGAAAAAAGAUACACACACGUAAAUAUAUAUGCAUAUAUAUAUACCUAUAUGCAUGCAAGCAUACAUACAGAUCUACAAAGUAGAUCAGUUGCUUCUUGCGAAGAAGGAAUGAACAUAACGGUGAAAAGCGACGAUUUUCCUGAGAAAAUUUUCAACGCACGGAUCUCACUUGAUAGCAGUGCAAGAAUACUUUUAACGGAUGUUCGAUUAUACAAAACUUUAUUGUCUAUGCGUAAAAGAGUCUUCACGGAUUCUGUAGAAAUUUAAAGCGGCGAUGGUGAUUUAUUCAUCGUUGAAAUAAAUUAUGAGAAUUAUGGACUUUAAGCAAACUCAUGGGGCGUGAUUUAUUUGCUCGUAAAUUAAUCCAUUAUAUAGUGAUACAAAUUUUGUAAAGUGAGAUAUAGGAAGUAACGAAACUGGCAGAUUGGUGUCGUACACGCAACGAGGAAACUGGUUGACAGCUGUCUAAGAGUUUUCACCGCGACGACGAAGACGACGACGACGAAGACGACGACAACGACGACGACGACGACGACGACGACGACGACGGCGACGGUGCUAUCUCCAUAGCUGGAUCAAUUUCCUGGAUCCUUUUCGUGGAAGAAGGACAAGAUCCUCGAGGUUCUACACCACGUUAUCGGAAAUUCUUCUCUUUCCUCUAUCGUCUCACCAACCUAUAUAGAUUCGAGAGUACACACGUACACACAUUUUGAUUUGCUCGGGAGAUGAAAGGGAGCGAGAUAGAUCGAAGACACAAAGACGUUUUCCAAGAGCUAGAAAGAAUUUAGAAAGAGACAAAAAAAAAGAUGAGGAUAAAAAGUAGAAGAUGAUGAAAUAAAAAUAAUUUCGCAGUAUUACAAGCGAGUCCAACUCAACGUUGGAUCAUAGACAAAAAGGAAAAGGAUCCUAAUUGAAUGUUGAUCAACUUUACUCACGCUCUUGGAAAUAUUCAAUAAUUUCGCGUUGACGUAUCCCAGGAAAGCAUAUUAACACGUCGACUACGUUUGGAACGUAAUCUACGAGUUAUGCAUCUCGCAUCUAAUUUAUUUUCCAUUCCGCUCUAGUUCCUCUUAGUAGAACAUGUCAUCAUCAGUGCUAGAUCCUAUCUUAAGAAUCGUAUUCCGGUUUUAGGUGAAACAUACGUUGAGGAAUAGCUAGAGCUCCCUUGGAUGCCUAAUUCGAGAACGAACGUUGCCAUUAGUGGUCGAGUGCAUUCGUGUUUGUGAAAAUUUCAGCCAAAAAGAAAAACUAAGAAACUGAGAAAAAUAGAGAGCGAAAGAGAAAGAGACAAUGUUGGAUUGGUUUCGAUUGUCUUGAGAAAAAUAGUAGAUCGGCCAGGUGGACAGUAAAUAAUCUUAGAUCGCAAGGAAACAUCCUUUGAGGUGUCGUUCUACUUUUUCAAUAGGAAAAGGGUUGACAAACUCGUCUUGUUUGUUAUUACCUACGUUCCUUUCCUCGUUGUACAUCGUAAUACUCUCCUCUUGUACCUACGUUUUUCCUUCCUGAGAAACUUCAAUAUUUGCCGUAGUAACGACGUAGAAGAAUUUUUAUUUGCUUCAUAAAAAGAAAAGAAGAGAAAAGGAAAGAAAAGAAAAGAAAAGAAGAAGAAGAAGAAGAAGAAGAAAAAGGAAAAGAGAAAAAAAAAGAAGAAGAAAAAAAAUAUAAGGACCACCUCUCCAGCUGCAUAUCAAUCUAUGUAAAGACAAUAUGCAUCGAUCUUUAUCUUUGCUGUAAUUUCCUUUCGGUUGAAAAUCAAAGGAUAGAAACAGAGAAGAAGGAUUUUUAUGUAUCUACUACUGAAAGAAAUGAAAGAGAGAGAGAGAGAGAGAGAGAGAGAGACAGAGAGAGAAAGAAAGAAAGAGAAAAAGAAAGAAAAAAAAGAAAGAGUGGUAUGGUAGAAAAGGAACUGGUAUGGUUUGAAAGCUUCGGCGAAAAAAUUGAGAACAACGUCAUUCCUGAAACAGACGACAGAUCAUUCGGAGUCGUACUAGUCUAGUCUACGAUGCAAUGUAUCCACUUCCUCGCUACGCUACAUUUCUCUGAUUUCGUAUCCCGUGUAUCCCAUAGGAAUUCUAUGCGCAGAACGUUCGUUCUUAUUUACUCUCGACUCUCGACCCAUCGUCAUCAAGAUCUUACCAGUGCGGCGAUUUCGUAUCGCACGACUGAAUUCGUCCCUACUAUUCGAAAAUUUAUCUUUCACGUACAUACAUUCUAACUAUAUUUAGCAAGUUGAUUAAAUAACGGAACGAGAAUCGUCCGGGUUUGAAAAUUUAUGAUCACCGGAGAUGAUCAAGAGUAUUCGAGUGGACUGCGAUUCGAUUCCUAAUUCGCUCAAUUUCGGAUGCAAUUACCAUGUCAACGCGGUUAGCUUAUCGAUCACUUCGAUUCGAUCACAUUCGACGAAUGAAGUUUGUACGAUGAUCGAUGAUUUAUCUCGAUCAAGAGUAUUCCUUUGUUCUGAUCAAUGAAAAAUUCUCAACAUCGAGCAGCUAUCAAAGGAAAUCGUGUAUUACUGGUUGGUUACAUGGAACAUAUUUGCUGAAAUUUGUCCUGGUUACUGGCAAAUGCAUCGCUUGUUAUCCUAUUAUCUGGAUUAUGGUGCGUUAUGUGGAGAUCUAAAAGAGAGAGAGAGAGAGUAGAGGAAUACGCUCGUAUACCUGAAAGGAUCAUUUCCCGGUUAAACGAAAGAGAGAACGUUACACUUUUGUACGUUUACGUACGUCCGCCUAUAAAUAACCGACGGCCGCUUUCCGGACAGUCUUGUUAACGUAAAAAGAGCGAGCGAAAUGGUCACUGUACCGACGGACGAACGACCUUUGCAAAAAAAUAAAAAAAGAAAAAAGAGAACAACUAGAGAAACAGAGAGAAAAAGAAAGAUAGAAAAAGACAGUAAAAGACAGACAGACAGAGAAAGAAAGAAAAAGAGAAAGAUAGACACACACAGAGAGAGAGAGAGAGAGAGAGAGAGAGAGAGAGAAAGAUAGACUAAAAAGAAAAAAAUUGACGAGUAGGUGGAAACCGAGGAAAAAUCGGUUAGGUCCAGUGCGUUUUGACGCAGAGAAAUGAAUACUGGGGAUGGUGAUGGUAGUGGUGAUGGUGGUGAUGGUGAUGGUGAUGGUGAUGCCGAUGGUGAUGGUAAUGGUGGUGAGGAGAAUGUGGAAGAGAAAGAGAUAGAGGAGAGGGCUUAACAGUGAUAUGGAAAAAUUCGUAAUAUUUCCUACGGAUUCUACGUCGUGACUGUUCACAAAAUUUACGAUCGAUCGAUCUUAUUUGCAUUCACGUCCGGUUAACCGCCGCUGGUGUCGGCGUAUCAAUUUUUACGAGCCAUCAUCGAAUACUUUUUCAAACACGAGGAAAUCGAGACCGAGAACGAGAACGAGAAUGAGAACGAAAACGAGAACGAGAACGAGCCGAAGCUAGCAAGAGCUUUUCCUCUCAUUUUCGCCAAGGAUGCGGCUAUAAUUCAUGAAGUGGUGCUAAUUCCUUGGCAACCACCGUCGCACCGUCUCGUCAAGAGGCUUUGCGCGUCGAAACAGCUUCCCAUUUCACAGCGGAGUUAGGAAAUGUAUUGUUUUCUCGAAAGAGGAGGGAUUUUCGUACCCCCGGAAAAUCUGUCUAAUGGCUUCCUAAACGGCUCCUUCUCUAACUUUCAAGGCUGGAUAUAUAAUAAUUGUGGGAGAAUAAAAUGAAGAAUUAUUUUCAACGAUACAAAUGUAUAUAUAUUUUAUAAAUAUAUAUUUAUAUAUAUAAAUAUAUAUAAGUAUAUAUAUUAUAUAUUAUAAUGUAUAUAUAUAUAUAUAUAUAUAUAUAUAUAUGCAAAAUUGUGUAAAUAAAAUAUUACAUUUUCAUU